rnacentral:rRNA from 1 species
GGGUGCGAUCAUACCAGCACUAAUGCACCGGAUUCCAUCAGAACUCCGAAGUUAAACGUGCUUGGGCGAGAGUAGUACUAAGAUGGGUGACCUCUUGAGAAGUCCUCGUGUUGCACCCC